rnacentral:rRNA from 1 species
AGUGAACGCUGGCGGUAGGCCUAACACAUGCAAGUCGAACGGCAGCACAGUAAGAGCUUGCUCUUACGGGUGGCGAGUGGCGGACGAGUGAGGAAUACAUCGGAAUCUACUUUUUCGUGGGGGAUAACGUAGGGAAACUUACGCUAAUAUCGCAUACGACCUACGGGUGAAAGCAGGGGAUCUUCGGACCUUGCGCGAUUGAAUGAGCCGAUGUCGGAUUAGCUAGUUGGCGGGGUAAAGGCCCACCAAGGCGACGAUCCGUAGCUGGUCUGAGAGGAUGAUCAGCCACACUGGAACUGAGACACGGUCCAGACUCCUACGGGAGGCAGCAGUGGGGAAUAUUGGACAAUGGGCGCAAGCCUGAUCCAGCCAUACCGCGUGGGUGAAGAAGGCCUUCGGGUUGUAAAGCCCUUUUGUUGGGAAAGAAAAGCAGCAGGUUAAUACCCCGCUGUUCUGACGGUACCCAAAGAAUAAGCACCGGCUAACUUCGUG